rnacentral:rRNA from 1 species
GAUGACCGCUGGCGGCGUGCCUAAUCCAUGCAAGUCGAGCGAACAGACGAGGAGCUUGCUCCUUUGACGUUAGCGGCGGACGGGUGAGUAACACGUGGAUAACCUACCUAUAAGACUGGGAUAACUUCGGGAAACCGGAGCUAAUAUCGGAUAAUAUAUUGAACCGCAUGGUUCAAUAGUGAAAGACGGUUUUGCUGUCACUUAUAGAUGGAUCCGCGCCGCAUUAGCUAGUUGGUAAGGUAACGGCUUACCAAGGCGACGAUGCGUAGCGGACCUGAGAGGGUGAUCGGCCACACUGGAACUGAGACACGGUCCAGACUCCUACGGGAGGCAGCAGUAGGGAAUCUUCCGCAAUGGGCGAAAGCCUGACGGAGCAACGCCGCGUGAGUGAAGAAGGUCUUCGGAUCGUAAAACUCUGUUAUUGGGGAAGAACAAAUGUGUAAGUAACUAUGCACGUCUUGACGGUACCUAAACAGAAAGCCACGGCUAACUACGUG